GACGAACGCUGGCGGCGUGCUUAACACAUGCAAGUCGAACGGAAAGGCCCUGCUUUUGUGGGGUGCUCGAGUGGCGAACGGGUGAGUAACACGUGAGUAACCUGCCCUUGACUUUGGGAUAACUUCAGGAAACUGGGGCUAAUAACGGAUAGGAGCUCCUGCUGCAUGGUGGGGGUUGGAAAGUUUCGGCGGUUGGGGAUGGACUCGCGGCUUAUCAGCUUGUUGGCGGGGUAGUGGCUUACCAAGGCUUUGACGGGUAGCCGGCCUGUGCGGGUGACCGGCCACAUUGGGACUGAGAUACGGCCCAGACUCCUACGGGAGGCAGCAGUGGGGAAUAUUGCACAAUGGGCGGAAGCCUGAUGCAGCAACGCCGCGUGCGGGAUGACGGCCUUCGGGUUGUAAACCGCUUUCGCCUGUGACGAAGCGUGAGUGACGGUAAUGGGUAAAGAAGCACCGGCUAACUACGUG
rnacentral:rRNA from 1 species